UACGAAGGGGGCUAGCGUUGCUCGGAAUCACUGGGCGUAAAGCGCACGUAGGCGGAUUGCUAAGUCAGGGGUGAAAUCCUGGAGCUCAACUCCAGAACUGCCUUUGAUACUGGCGAUCUUUGAGUCCGGGAGAGGUGAGUGGAACUGCGAGUGUAGAGGUGAAAUUCGUAGAUAUUCGCAAGAACACCAGUGGCGAAGGCGGCUCACUGGCCCGGUACUGACGCUGAGGUGCGAAAGCGUGGGGAGCAAACAGG
rnacentral:rRNA from 1 species